rnacentral:misc_RNA from 1 species
AAGAAGUUUAUUAAAACCGUUAAACAGGCAAUCACAAGUAAAAGACACUGCAACUCAGCUGAUUUAAAGUGCAUCCAUAGACCUUAGUUCUUAAAGUCAACACUAAAAAUGAAACAAUUUGAAGAACUUCAAAGGUUCAUAAAUGCUUUAAUUAGCUAAUAUUUUAAGUGCCAUGUUUCUGCGUAACAUUUUUUUUACCUGCUAGUUAUUGUCUUAUUAUUAAAUUACGAAUGU